rnacentral:rRNA from 1 species
UACGGGGGGGGCAAGCGUUGUUCGGAUUUACUGGGCGUAAAGGGCGCGUAGGCGGCCACUGCAAGUCGGUUGUGAAAUCUCCGGGCUUAACCCGGAAAGGUCAAUCGAUACUGCAGGGCUAGAGUGCGGAAGGGGCAACUGGAAUUCUCGGUGUAGCGGUGAAAUGCGUAGAUAUCGAGAGGAACACCUGCGGCGAAGGCGGGUUGCUGGGCUGACACUGACGCUGAGGCGCGAAAGCUAGGGGAGCGAACGGG